GAUGAACGCUGGCGGCGUGCCUAAUACAUGCAAGUCGAGCGAACAGACGAGGAGCUUGCUCCUCUGACGUUAGCGGCGGACGGGUGAGUAACACGUGGAUAACCUACCUAUAAGACUGGGAUAACUUCGGGAAGCCGGAGCUAAUACCGGAUAAUAUUUUGAACCGCAUGGUUCAAUAGUGAAAGACGGUUUUGCUGUCACUUAUAGAUGGAUCCGCGCCGCAUUAGCUAGUUGGUAAGGUAACGGCUUACCAAGGCAACGAUGCGUAGCCGACCUGAGAGGGUGAUCGGCCACACUGGAACUGAGACACGGUCCAGACUCCUACGGGAGGCAGCAGUAGGGAAUCUUCCGCAAUGGGCGAAAGCCUGACGGAGCAACGCCGCGUGAGUGAUGAAGGUCUUCGGAUCGUAAAACUCUGUUAUUAGGGAAGAACAAAUGUGUAAGUAACUAUGCACGUCUUGACGGUACCUAAUCAGAAAGCCACGGCUAACUACGUG
rnacentral:rRNA from 1 species